rnacentral:misc_RNA from 1 species
AAAGUCGUAACAAGGUCUCCGUAGGUGAACCUGCGGAGGGAUCAUUACCAAAGAUGGCGGGCCUCCGGGCCCCCGUCCCCAACCCUUUGUUGACCAAAACCUUUUUUGCCUCGGGGGCAGAGCGUCCGCCGCCGCCCCCGGAGGACCACCGAACGCUGUCUCUUUACGUCGGAGUAUUGAUUGAAUAGAUGAAAA